rnacentral:rRNA from 1 species
CAUUAACGAGAAGUUAUGGAUAAUUGAAGAUGACUGGAAAGUCAAGCCAUAGAGUGUAAUAGCCACGUAAGUGAAAUUCAUAAUAAUCAAGUUCUGAUCCAGAGUACCACGAGACACGUGAAACCUUGUGGGAAGCAGGGAGGACCACCUCCCAAGGCUAAAUACUACCUGAUGACCGAUAGUGAAGCAGUACCGUGAGGGAAAGGUGAAAAGAACCCCGGGAGGGGAGUGAAAUAGAACCUGAAACCGUGUGCCUACAACCGGUCAAAGCCCCUUAUGAGGGUGAUGACGUGCUUUUUGUAGAACGAGCCAACGAGUUACGGUAUGUAGCAAGGUUAAGUACUUAAGGUACGGAGCCGAAGGGAAACCGAGUCUUAAUAGGGCGACUAGUUGCAUGCCGUAGACCCGAAACCGGGUGACCUAUCCAUGGCCAGGUUGAAGCGGGGGUAAAACCCCGUGGAGGACCGAACCACGUUGCUGUUGAAAAAGCAUGGGAUGAGCUGUGGAUAGCGGAGAAAUUCCAAUCGAACUCGGAGAUAGCUGGUUCUCCUCGAAAUAGCUUUAGGGCUAGCGUCGGAUAUGAGUAGUGGAGGUAGAGCACUGAAUGGGCUAGGGGGCAUAGCGCUUACCGAACCUUAUCAAACUCCGAAUGCCACAUACUAUUAGUCCGGCAGUCAGACUGCGAAAGAUAAGUUCCGUAGUCAAAAGGGAAACAGCCCAGAUCGUCAGCUAAGGUCCCAAAGUGUAAGUUAAGUGGAAAAGGAUGUGGGAUUUCUAAGACAACUAGGAUGUUGGCUUAGAAGCAGCCACUCAUUAAAAGAGUGCGUAAUAGCUCACUAGUCGAGAGAUCCUGCGCCGAAGAUGUCCGGGGCUCAAACUUACCACCGAAGCUACGGGUUCACACUUAUGUGUGAGCGGUAGAGGAGCGUCGUAAUCGGGCUGAAGUCGUACCGUAAGGAGCGGUGGACUGAUUACGAGUGAGAAUGUUGGCAUUAGUAGCGAGAUGUGGGUGAGAAUCCCACAGGCCGAAUAUCUAAGGUUUCCUCAGGAAGGUUCGUCCGCUGAGGGUUAGUCGGGACCUAAGCCGAGGCCGAAAGGCGUAGGCGAUGGACAAUCGGUUGAUAUUCCGAUACCACUACUGAUCGUUAUUAUCGAUGGUGUGACGGAGAAGGAUAGAGUGUGCUAGCUAUUGGAUGCUAGUCUAAGCGUUUAGGGAGUUAGGAAAGGCAAAUCCGUCCUAACAAUUCUGAGGCGUGAUGGGGAAGGUUCUACGGAACCGAAGUACUUGAUUCCAUGCUUCCAAGAAAAGCAUCUAGAGAGAGAUGUAGUGCCCGUACCGCAAACCGACACAGGUAGAUGAGGAGAGAAUCCUAAGGCCGGCGGAAGAAUCACAGUUAAGGAACUAGGCAAAUUGACCCCGUAACUUAGGGAGAAGGGGUGCCUGUGAGAGCAGGCCGCAGAGAAUAGGCCCAAGCAACUGUUUAGCAAAAACACAGGUCUCUGCUAAAGCGAAAGCUGAUGUAUAGGGGCUGACGCCUGCCCGGUGCUGGAAGGUUAAGGGGAACACUUAGCGCAAGCGAAGGUGUGAACUUAAGCCCCAGUAAACGGCGGCCGUAACUAUAACGGUCCUAAGGUAGCGAAAUUCCUUGUCAGGUAAGUUCUGACCCGCACGAAUGGCGUAAUGACUUGGGCACUGUCUCAACUGU